ensembl:lncRNA
CGACAAUUUAACUAAGCACACGUCCACUGAGUUUAAGUAGAUUUAAAAGUAUUGUUUUUUGUUUUUUCCAGGAGUCAUGAUGUCCGUGCUCAAUAUGAAUAAUUCCGGCUCAGAAGCUGCUGAAACUUAUUCUGUGAUCAGCUCAGUACCCUUACCGGCCCUGCCUUUCGACACCAGUGGAGACAUAAAAGUGGAUUCUAAGAUAACAGUGGUCGACACGUAUCAUGUGUACAGCUCCAUCCCUGACACACACGUGACCACCAAUGACGCAGUGUACAGCCUGCUGCAGAUGCACUGAUUAUUCUUAUGCCUGUUAUGCCUUAACAUGUGCUUUAAUUGAAUAGCUUGCUUUUGGAUUUGAAAUGAAUUGGACUUCUGCUGGCUUGUAACUGCAAUGUCACUGAAUGGAGCUCAAGACUGAGUCCAGAUUAAUAAAGAGCUGAUGGAUUUACAGUUGGCUCAUGAAUAAGUUUCACCAGAUGAAAGAGAAAAGCCACGAGUCAGAAAUAAACCUGAGCGCUAUGCUAGCA